rnacentral:lncRNA from 10 species
AAUUCUGUAACCAGUGCUCUUGAGCUACUUGCUUGAGCCUGCUCCCACUCUGUGGAGUAUACUUUCAUUUCAAUAAAUCUGGCUUUUAUUGCUUCAUUCUUUCAUUGCUUUGUUUGUGCAUUUUGUUCAAAACGUCAAGAACUUGGACAAUCUGUAGUCAAGGACCUCCACUGAUAACAGUUCCACAGAUACACGCAAAGACAAAGAACACAGAAAGCACAUCACCCACAAAAUGCAGAGUACUCUGGAAGGUGAGCACACAGCAAGAAGGUAGCUGUCUGCAAGCUGGGAAGAGAGACCUAACCAAAACUUAACCACGCUGGCACCCUGAUCUCAGAAACUCAGUCUCCAGAACUGUGAGAAAAUAAAUGUCUGUUGUUUAAGCCACGCAGUCUGUGGUAUUUUGUUAUAGAAGACUGACUGAGCAGACUAAUACAAGGAUUUUGUAUUCUGACUGUGUCAUGUGUGACUUUGAGCAAUUAUUCAACUUCGCUGAG